UACGUAGGGGGCAAGCGUUGUCCGGAUUUAUUGGGCGUAAAGAGCUCGUAGGCGGUUCGGCAAGUCGGAUGUGAAAUCUCCACGCUUAACGUGGAGGGGCCAUUCGAAACUGCUGUGACUCGAGUCCGGUAGGGGAGUGUGGAAUUCCCGGUGUAGCGGUGAAAUGCGCAGAUAUCGGGAGGAACACCAGUAGCGAAGGCGACUAUCUGGGCUUUAACUGACGCUGAGGCGCGAAGGCCGGGGGAGCAAACAGG
rnacentral:rRNA from 1 species